AGACAGUGAUGGUGUAGAGAUAACAGGUUAAAGCCUGAUAUAGACAGUGAUGGUGUAGAGAUGACAGGAGCAGGUUAAAGCCUGAUAUAGACAGUGAUGGUGUAGAGAUGACAGGUUAAAGCCUGAUAUAGACAGUGAUGGUGUAGAGAUGACAGGAGCAGGUUAAAGCCUGAUAUAGACAGUGAUGGUGUAGAGAUGACAGGAGCAGGUUAAAGCCUGAUAUAGACAGUGAUGGUGUAGAGAUGACAGGAGCAGGUUAAAGCCUGAUAUAGACAGUGAUGGUGUAGAGAUGACAGGUUAAAGCCUGAUAUAGACAGUGAUGGUGUAGAGAUGACAGGUUAAAGCCUGAUAUAGACAGUGAUGGUGUAGAGAUGACAGGAGCAGGUUAAAAGCCUGAUAUAGACAGUGAUGGUGUAGAGAUGACAGGUUAAAGCCUGAUAUAGACAGUGAUGGUGUAGAGAUGACAGGUUAAAGCCUGAUAUAGACAGUGAUGGUGUAGAGAUGACAGGAGCAGGUUAAAGCCUGAUAUAGACAGUGAUGGUGUAGAGAUGACAGGUUAAAGCCUGAUAUAGACAGUGAUGGUGUAGAGAUGACAGGUUAAAGCCUGAUAUAGACAGUGAUGGUGUAGAGAUGACAGGUUAACAGCCUGAUAUAGACAGUGAUGGUGUAGAGAUGACAGGAGCAGGUUAAAGCCUGAUAUAGACAGUGAUGGUGUAGAGAUGACAGGAGCAGGUUAAAAGCCUGAUAUAGACAGUGAUGGUGUAGAGAUGACAGGAGCAGGUUAAAGCCUGAUAUAGACAGUGAUGGUGUAGAGAUGACAGGAGCAGGUUAAAGCCUGAUAUAGACAGUGAUGGUGUAGAGAUGACAGGAGCAGGUUAAAGCCUGAUAUAGACAGUGAUGGUGUAGAGAUGACAGGUUAAAGCCUGAUAUAGACAGUGAUGGUGUAGAGAUGACAGGUUAAAGCCUGAUAUAGACAGUGAUGGUGUAGAGAUGACAGGAGCAGGUUAAAAGCCUGAUAUAGACAGUGAUGGUGUAGAGAUGACAGGAGCAGGUUAAAGCCUGAUAUAGACAGUGAUGGUGUAGAGAUGACAGGAGCAGGUUAAAGCCUGAUAUAGACAGUGAUGGUGUAGAGAUGACAGGUUAAAGCCUGAUAUAGACAGUGAUGGUGUAGAGAUGACAGGAGCAGGUUAAAGCCUGAUAUAGACAGUGAUGGUGUAGAGAUGACAGGUUAAAGCCUGAUAUAGACAGUGAUGGUGUAGAGAUGACAGGAGCAGGUUAAAGCCUGAUAUAGACAGUGAUGGUGUAGAGAUGACAGGUUAAAGCCUGAUAUAGACAGUGAUGGUGUAGAGAUACUCAGGGCAGGCAUUUAUUUCAAGUACAGAGGAAAGUCUGGGAGUGGAGGACGGCAGCAAGGGACAGGAGAGAGGAGGCUCUAUUUUCAAGAGGAAAGUGAUUAUUGCCAGGAAACAAAGACUGGGAGUAUGUAUUUAUACAAUGUGGGCAAUAUCAGAGGGACAGAGAGAGGCUGAACUCCAGUAUCAGAGGGAAAGAGAGAGGCUGAGCUCCAGUAUCAGAGGGAAAGAGAGAGGCUGAGCUCCAGUAUCAGAGGGACAGAGAGAGGCUGAGCUCCAGUAUCAGAGGGAAAGAGAGAGGCUGAGCUCCAGUAUCAGAGGGAAAGAGAGAGGCUGAACUCCAGUAUCAGAGGGACACAGAGAGGCUGAGCUCCAGUAUCAGAGGGAAAGAGAGAGGCUGAACUCCAGUAUCAGAGGGACACAGAGAGGCUGAGCUCCAGUAUCAGAGGGAAAGAGAGAGGCUGAACUCCAGUAUCAGAGGGAAAGAGAGAGGCUGAACUCCAGUAUCAGAGGGACAGAGAGAGGCUGAGCUCCAGUAUCAGAGGGACAGAGAGAGGCUGAGCUCCAGUAUCAGAGGGAAAGAGAGAGGCUGAGCUCCAGUAUCAGAGGGAAAGAGAGAGGCUGAGCUCCAGUAUCAGAGGGACAGAGAGAGGCUGAGCUCCAGUAUCAGAGGGAAAGAGAGAGGCUGAACUCCAGUAUCA